rnacentral:rRNA from 1 species
GCCUGGUAGCGGGGAUAACUAUUGGAAACGAUAGCUAAUACCGCAUAAGAGUAGAUGUUGCAUGACAUUUGCUUAAAAGGUGCAAUUGCACCACUACCAGAUGGACCUGCGUUGUAUUAGCUAGUUGGUGGGGUAACGGCUCACCAAGGCGACGAUACAUAGCCGACCUGAGAGGGUGAUCGGCCACACUGGGACUGAGACACGGCCCAG